rnacentral:rRNA from 1 species
GUGCCUUCGGGAACUGUGAGACAGGUGCUGCAUGGCUGUCGUCAGCUCGUGUUGUGAAAUGUUGGGUUAAGUCCCGCAACGAGCGCAACCCUUAUCCUUUGUUGCCAGCGAUUCGGUCGGGAACUCAAAGGAGACUGCCGGUGAUAAACCGGAGGAAGGUGGGGAUGACGUCAAGUCAUCAUGGCCCUUACGAGUAGGGCUACACACGUGCUACAAUGGCGCAUACAAAGAGAAGCGACCUCGCGAGAGCAAGCGGACCUCAUAAAGUGCGUCGUAGUCCGGAUCGGAGUCUGCAACUCGACUCCGUGAAGUCGGAAUCGCUAGUAAUCGUGGAUCAGAAUGCCACGGUGAAUACGUUCCCGGGCCUUGUACACACCGCCCGUCACACCAUGGGAGUGGGUUGCAAAAGAAGUAGGUAGCUUAACCUUCGGGAGGGCGCUUACCCACUUU